GACGAACGCUGGCGGCGUGCUUAACACAUGCAAGUCGAACGAAGAGCGAUGGAAGCUUGCUUCUAUCAAUCUUAGUGGCGAACGGGUGAGUAACGCGUAAUCAACCUGCCCUUCAGAGGGGGACAACAGUUGGAGACGACUGCUAAUACCGCAUACGAUCUAACCUCGGCAUCGAGGAUAGAUGAAAGGUGGCCUCUACAUGUAAGCUAUCACUGAAGGAGGGGAUUGCGUCUGAUUAGCUAGUUGGAGGGGUAACGGCCCACCAAGGCGAGGAUCAGUAGCCGGUCUGAGAGGAUGAACGGCCACAUUGGGACUGAGACACGGCCCAGACUCCUACGGGAGGCAGCAGUGGGGAAUCUUCCGCAAUGGACGAAAGUCUGACGGAGCAACGCCGCGUGAGUGAUGACGGCCUUCGGGUUGUAAAGCUCUGUUAAUCGGGACGAAAGGCCUUCUUGCGAAUAGUGAGAAGGAUUGACGGUACCGGAAUAGAAAGCCACGGCUAACUACGUG
rnacentral:rRNA from 1 species